GCCCUUAGAGUUUGAUCCUGGCUCAGAUUGAACGCUGGCGGCAUGCUUAAGACAUGCAAGUCGAACGGUAACGGGCCCUUCGGGGUGCCGACGAGUGGCGGACGGGUGAGUAAUGCAUCGGAAUCUGCCCAGUAGUGGGGGAUAACCCGGGGAAACUCGGGCUAAUACCGCAUACGCUCUACGGAGGAAAGAGGGCCUCUGACUCAAGCUCUCGCUAUUGGAUGAGCCGAUGUCCGAUUAGCUUGUUGGUAGGGUAAAUGCCUACCAAGGCGACGAUCGGUAGCUGGUCUGAGAGGAUGAUCAGCCACACUGGGACUGAGACACGGCCCAGACUCCUACGGGAGGCAGCAGUCGGGAAUAUUGGACAAUGGGCGAAAGCCUGAUCCAGCAAUGCCGCGUGUGUGAAGAAGGCCUGCGGGUUGUAAAGCACUUUCAGCAGGGAAGACGGCGUCCGGCGCUAAUACCGCCGGGGGUUGACGUUACCUGCAGAAGAAGCACCGGCUAACUCCGUGCCAGCAGCCGCGGUAAUAC
rnacentral:rRNA from 1 species